GAUUCAGAAGAUCCAAAAUAAAAAACAAGGAUAUUUAUUGGAUAUUCCUUAUCGUUAAUUUAAAUUACAAAAUUUAUAAUUGUUUUUCUAUUUUUUAAAUUUCAUAUGAAUGAAGUAAAAGAAAAGCUGGACGAAGGUGGCAUAAGUUGGUGGGCACAUUAGGCCGAUGAGGACUUUUCUUUUUUAUGGGUAACUUGGUGGUAGAUAAAUUGUGACUUUGAUGUACUUUUGUGUAAAAGUCUAAU
rnacentral:misc_RNA from 1 species